UGUCUUGCCUGUAGUUAAACCACAUCU
rnacentral:piRNA from 1 species